rnacentral:rRNA from 1 species
GACGAACGCUGGCGGCGUGCUUAACACAUGCAAGUCGAACGAAAAGGCCCUGCUUUUGUGGGGUGCUCGAGUGGCGAACGGGUGAGUAACACGCGAGUAACCUGCCCUUGACUUUGGGAUAUCUUCAGGAAACAGGGGAUAAUACCGGAUAGGAGCUCUCGCUGCACGGUGGGGGUUGGAAAGUUUCGGCGGUUGGGGAUGGACUCGCGGCUUAUCCGCUUGUUGGUGGGGUAGUGGCUUACCAAGGCUUUGACGGGUAGCCGGCCUGAGAGGGUGACCGGCCACAUUGGGACUGAGGUACGGCGCAGACUCCUACGGGACGCAGCAGUGGGGAAUAUGACAGAAUAGGCGGAAGCCAGAGGCAGCAACGCCGCGUGCGGGAUGACGGCCUUCGAGUUGUGAACCGCUUUCGCCUGUGACGAAGCGUGAGUGACGGUAAUUGGUAAAGAAGCACCGGCUAACUACGUG